rnacentral:pre_miRNA from 1 species
CCUCCUCCCAUCAAUCACAAAUGUCCUGAAUGGCAUUUAAGGAUUGCUAUUAAGGACAUUUGUGAUUCGUGGGAGGAGGU